CCAUUAUGUAUCCAGGAAAUUGUACACAAUAGUCCUACACCAUUAAAAUCAAUGGCUAAAAAAACACAUCUAUCAAAUCUAAUGGCCACGAUUGAAUGUGGGAAGCCAGGCUUCUCUCACCCGUGACUUCUCAGGCCGCACCCGGCGCCGAACCUCCAAGCAUCAUCGAAUCGAAGAAAAAAAAAGAAAAACCGGCCUCCGAUCACCCAGCUGUGGAGGCCGCGCCGAUCGCCUACGCCCGCGCCAGGAGGAAGCUAGCCUCACGGGAUCACGCCUGGCUCCGAGUAGCCGCCGCGCCGAUCGCCUGCGCCCGCGCCAGGACGAAGCCGGCCUCACCAGGACGCACGCCCGAGCCCGCGCAGUCGCCGCGUCGAUCGCCUGCGACCGCGGCAGGAGGAAGCCGGCCUCGUGAGGACGCACGCCUAAGCCCGUGCAGUCGUCGCGCCAAGCAGCAGCCUCGACGAGCCUUCUGAUUGCUCGCCGGGAGGAAGCCACACCCGAGCCCGUGCAGCGGCCACGACGAUCACGCACGCGUGGCAGAGGGGAGGCCGCGGUCACGCACAUGACGAUCACCUUGUUCUGCGGAUCCAUACGCCAAGCACGCAGGAUCUCCUGAUGGAAGUGCACUAAACAAAUCAGACUUCACAUUCUCAGCUAAUGCACUAGCUCUUGAGCAUGAAGCAGUGACAAUCCUCACCUUAGUAUGUUCCUCCUCUGAAUGCAUGGAGUCUUUGUGGUCUCUGUAUCCUUCAAGCUUUGCAUCAUCAGCCGCCGCGACGAUCAGUAUCAUGUCAACGCCCACACCCACGCACUUUGACGAGGUAACGACAAAGCCGCGCGGUGCCUGGCAACGACGAUCGCCCGCCUCUGCCGCCGUCAUGAUGAUCACGCCGGCGCAGACACGGCGCUCGCGUCGUUGCUAGCUUACAGCAAAGAGUGGGUUCGAAGCACACAACUAUACACAAUUUCUUUAAGUCCUAGAAAAAUUAGAGAAAUUUUAGAUGACAAUAGAGAGUUGGAUCAUGAUUGCUUCAACAUGGUUGUUAGGAUAGCUGCGUCAAAUGAAUCCUUGUUGUUGAAGAAGCAAAAAUACCACUUCAUGGACCUCCAGUUUGCUUCCAUAACUCAGUUUGGACGAGAUCCGCGAUGUUGUGACAAGCUAGACAACAAGAAACUCGCAAAAGUACUUGAGUGCUGGCCUGAUAUGGAGUACAAAAUUAAAGAUUGCAACAAUAUUCUACUACCAUAUUAUCGAGAUGGGCUAUACAUUUUAUUCAUAAUGAACAUGCAAAACAAAACUAUGUACAUUAUGGAUCCACUUCUAAAUGAAGUAUGUUUCAAGGGUUA